GCAGGAGCCCCCUACCUCGGCAGGUCCGAGCAGGAAGGAUCUCCCGGUGGGGGGUUUCCUGUACUUCCUCCGGAAGCCGAUAAGACGUGUGCCUCGCUCCUUGGUCACGCUCCUUGGUCACGCUCCUCAGUCCAGCCUUGGGAGUCUGUCCUCCGCAUGUUUGUGCAGUGCUCGGUGGGUUUUGAGUUAUUCAUGCCCACAGUCUCCUUUGACCUCACUGGAUGAAGCGGACAAGGCUAAGAUUAACAUUCUCGUUUUAUACAUGAAAAGACAGAUUUCUUUAAAAGAAGAGUUAGGAAGGCAUUACUCAAAUAUACAUCUGUGAUAUUUAUCACCAAGGGUGACAUCGGCACUUCUCUUCCCCUCAUCCCGGUGGCGCGAGCCUUUGACCCAUGUUCUGCCAGCCCCAAGGAGCUCUUUGCGGCUGAGCACGGGGCCGUGCAGGUCCCCGGGAUGAAGCAGGCCCGCCACGGCUCCCUCCACGACCCUGAGCUGCAGUGCCCUGUGCCGCAGAGGCCACACCGGGACGCCACCACCUUCAUUGUCUUCCUCAAGCUGGGCAGCAGGGUAGGCUGGGCGGCUGCAAGACGCCGGCUGCUGGAACUCUCAUCAAGUGAGACAGUCUGCUCAGGACCAGCACCUACAUCUCGGAGAUGCUCCUCCCCUGGUGCCUGAGGGCGGAGGCCCCCAGGGAAGCCUGGGGUGAACAGCUCUGGAGUCACUCACAAGGCCAUGAAGACUCUGGAUGAGGAGGGCUCAGAGACUGCGGCCACCAUCUAGCUCAUGCCCAGGCUUCACCCUGACCUUGGCCCCACACCCCAUCCAGGCACUGACUUCAAUCCGCCCUUCCAGGUGAUGACUUCCUGCACAGAAAGAGGAAGCAUCCUUUGUCUGGGGAAGACUGUCAACCCAUUGGGAUGAUGCUGCCCGAGAUGCGCUGGACGACCCGGAGAGAGCAGAGGAGGGGACCACGCUGGGGUGCCCUUGUCUGGGGACAGAGACAGCAUCCGAGUCUCUGUGUGGCCUGGAGUCAUCCCCAGGCUCUCCGGGAUCCCGUUUCUUCAUCCGGAAGUGAAAUGGGAAACAUUUGGAAGCGGUGAUGGCGGCAGGUGCCCCUGCACAAGCUCCGUGCGGCCAUGCUAGUAGCCGCCCGCCCACGCGCCGGGAGCUUCUGUGUGGAACCAGGUUUAAGGUCUUGUGUGUAUCCUGGUUCUUCUGCGCGGUUUCACGGGAACCUACGGGGUGGGGGUGGUAAGGGCGAUCAAGGCUGUGCCUCUGAGUGAACAUCUACACGUACUAGGCGUUUUGUAUAUUUUAUCUCAUUUUGAAAUUAAUUCCCACAACACCUAGUAAGAUAAGCAUUAGGUUGAACCAUAGGAAAUCAAUUGUAUUUGGCCUUUUUUUUUUUACCUACAAAAAAGGGCAACUUCACAUGAUUCCGCCUAAUAUUAUUUCUCCCUUUUCAUAGCUGAGUCUCAGAGAUGAGCCCCAGCUCCCUCAGCUAGAAAGGGCAUAGCUGGGAUUUGGUGUGUUUUCUUCCAAAGCCUAGACUCUUUCCAUUCUCAUCCAUUUUGCUGAAUUGGUGAUUCUUUUUUGUUUUUUUUUUUUUGAGGAAGAUUAGCCCUGAGAUAACAUCUGCCAAUCCUCCUCUUUUUGCUGAGG